GGAGGAGGAAGAGGCGCCUCUGGAAAUUAUCCAACUAUCAUCUGAUGCGGCGAUAAGUACUCUCGAUCAGCGUGUGUUUUCAUCUGAAUAAGAUCAUAUGUACUCCCUCAUAAUCCCAGAGGAAAGAAUUUGGAGCGAG